UACGUAGGUGGCAAGCGUUGUCCGGAUUUACUGGGUGUAGAGGGCGUGCAGCCGGGCUGACAAGUCAGAUGUGAAAUCCCGCGGCUUAACCGCGGAACUGCAUUUGAAACUGUUGGUCUUGAGUAUCGGAGAGGCAGGCGGAAUUCCUAGUGUAGCGGUGAAAUGCGUAGAUAUUAGGAGGAACACCAGUGGCGAAGGCGGCCUGCUGGACGGCAACUGACGGUGAGGCGCGAAAGCGUGGGGAGCAAACAGG
rnacentral:rRNA from 1 species